rnacentral:rRNA from 1 species
AUUGAACGCUGGCGGCAGGCCUAACACAUGCAAGUCGAACGGUAACAGGAAGCAGCUUGCUGCUUUGCUGACGAGUGGCGGACGGGUGAGUAAUGUCUGGGAAACUGCCUGAUGGAGGGGGAUAACUACUGGAAACGGUAGCUAAUACCGCAUAACGUCGCAAGACCAAAGAGGGGGACCUUCGGGCCUCUUGCCAUCGGAUGUGCCCAGAUGGGAUUAGCUAGUAGGUGGGGUAACGGCUCACCUAGGCGACGAUCCCUAGCUGGUCUGAGAGGAUGACCAGCCACACUGGAACUGAGACACGGACCAGACUCCUACGGGAGGCAGCAGUGGGGAAUAUUGCACAAUGGGCGCAAGCCUGAUGCAGCCAUGCCGCGUGUAUGAAGAAGGCCUUCGGGUUGUAAAGUACUUUCAGCGGGGAGGAAGGGAGUAAAGUUAAUACCUUUGCUCAUUGACGUUACCCGCAGAAGAAGCACCGGCUAACUCCGUG